rnacentral:rRNA from 1 species
CACGUAGGGGGCGAGCGUUGUCCGGAAUCAUUGGGCGUAAAGAGCUCGUAGGCGGCUCGGUAAGUCGGGUGUGAAACCCCCAGGCUCAACCUGGGGACGCCACCCGAUACUGCUGUGGCUAGAGUCCAGUAGGGGAGUGUGGAAUUCCCGGUGUAGCGGUGAAAUGCGCAGAUAUCGGGAGGAACACCGGUGGCGAAGGCGGGAUCCUGGGCCAGUACUGACGCUGAGGAGCGAAAGCGUGGGGAGCAAACAGG